rnacentral:rRNA from 1 species
CUGAACCAGCCAAGUAGCGUGAAGGAUGACUGCCCUAUGGGUUGUAACUUCUUUUAUAAAGGAAUAAAGUCGGGUAUGCAUACCCGUUUGCAUGUACUUUAUGAAUAAGGAUCGGCUAACUCCGUGCCAGCAGCCGCGGUAAUACGGAGGAUCCGAGCGUUAUCCGGAUUUAUUGGGUUUAAAGGGAGCGUAAAUGGAUGUUUAAGUCAGUUGUGAAAGUUUGCGG